GAAGCUGUCUGCUAGAGUGGACUUGUAAGUACAAGCAAGGCUGGGCCAGUGGGGGAGAGCGAGGCGGGAGUGAGGAACGAUUGUAUCCGUGCUUGCCUUCGUGUCAGCACUCACCAAAGAAACUGACAACCAGUGGGAUGGGAGAACGGACUUCUGUUUGUACAGGCUGGUGGCGAGUCUGCACGUUCUGGCAUCGCCACUUACCCACCCCGGCCAUGCCCGCCAGCCAAGGUGUGCGUGCUGGGGACCCCCAGAGGCCUAAAGGUUCGCGCGCCUACCCAGCCAGCUGCUGUCUGCUUUGCACUUAGCGCGCGCGCGCGCGCGCGCGGAGAUGUAACCCAAACCAGAGCCAUCCCUCCGCCUGCGCCGCGGAACGCGCAGAAGCGCGAAUAAACAACACGGUUUGAGAAAGCACGGGGAGCUAGGUCAGGCGGGAGGGGAGAGACCAGGGGAGGCAAAGAGGUGUUGGUGUCCGGCGCGCAGGCCGUCCUGCAGAUGACGCUCCCCGUGGAACCUGAGAGGGCAGUUGCAUCUACAGAACGCAGACUCUUUCCGCCUAAUUCACCCCCUGUCCUGUUGGAUAGUAUAGUUCUGUUUAGCGCGUCCUAACGUUACAUGGGAUUUGUUCUGCAAGACGUCUGGGACACGUAGCUACUAGGACUUUGCUUUCCAAAUAGGAAUUCCGGGCUUCCAAUCGAAUGGGUCCCGAUAGGUUUAGUACUGCCUGGAACCUCACAGGCGGUUACUUUAAAUAAUGGGACCCCAAAGACUAGUUAACUAGUUAGGGGUGCUCUCCCUUCGGAGUCCCCGAGAAUCUUGUACAGGGUUAUAUUCGCUCCUUGGCCUGAUGUGAGCCACAGGUCCAGGACAAACCGGUUUCUUGCCAUUUGACUAUGUGGAGCACUCCAAGCCUUCUCCCCCCAAAAGUUACUCUUUUGGCCUUGCCAUUCCUGCUGAGAAACUAGUUACAAUCUUUACUGCCCCCAGAAGGGAAGUUAUUUUGGUGCUCCGUUUGAAUGUAAAUUUCCAUCCACGGGACUGGGAUCAAGAGGUUUGUUAGUGAGAUGUAGCCUCUAAUUUUCUGAUGAAUACCGGUUGUGUUUUACCGUAACUGCACAAAGUUACUGGUUUUUUCUGCCGUCUCCCUUCAACUCUACCUUUUGAAUGAUUGCGUCUGCUGUUUUGAGAACAGUGUUGGAAAAGUUGCCAAUGGAAACUUCACUUGUGUUCAUAAUAUUAAGAAGGUGAAAAGACAGUUCUAUCACUGAAGCCAUUUUAUUGUUUGUCCGCUGAACAAAGCCUCCAUUUGGUAUCUUUUUCUCGUACCGAAACUGAGAGUAAGUAUCAUAUCCCGUUAAAACAGAGAAAGUUUAAGAACUCUGGACACUCAGUGGAUGGUUUGUUGAUGCAUAGGUAAUGCUGAUAAGGGGCUAAGGUGGAGCAAAUAAGGUAGAUAUCUUAAGUCCAAAAAUUAUUCACCUGAAAAUUCAAUUUUUUUUUGCUCACAAUAAUUUCAGUACAGCUGUAUGAAAAAAAUGCACUUUCUGUAUGUCUUCCUUAAUUUUUUGAACAAAUUAUAUAUACAUAUAAAAUAAUUCAAGCUCAAAAUUUGCUUACCCAAAUUAUGCCUUGGCCAGCAAGUAUUACAUUCGAAGGGCUGAGUCCUCCAUUUACUUGUGUCAUUUACAGCACUGUAUGCCAAUGGUUUCUGGACAUUUAUUCUUCCUGCUUUGGAGGAAUUACGUGAAAGUGGGGGAGGAGCAUCCAAUUGGAGUACAAUUGCCAAGGCAAUAGAGAAAUUUGGGGAAUAAGUGCAUAGCAGUAAACAGCCCCUGAUGCUUCUUAUUUCUUUUAGUAUUUGUAUUAAGAUAAAGUAUAUAUGCAUCAAAAUUGGCCUUCACUCUUCUCUGUGACAAUAAAAGACUUUAUUAAUGGUAAUGCUACAAUAAACUGAUAUCAAUAAUACAUGCAUCUUUAUUUUAAUCAGAAUUACUGUCUACUUGUAUUUAUUUGUAUUAUUUAAAAAUCGAAGUUAAAAAAUACACUUGUCAGGAGAAGAUUCUGCUAUAUAAAUCAGGGUUAUGACACUUAGGGCAAUAAAUUCAGUUUUUAGUGCUGAAA